UGGGUCACCAAAAGCUGACCUCACCCCAGCAGAGGCCAGCUUUGGAGCUAAAUAAAGGCAGGCCUGUUGGAGGGAAUCCCUGGGGGAAAAGAGACAAGCAUAGGUCCCUCACAAGAUGCCACCCGCUUCAUACAAGUGUCUGGCAGCACUGUGUUACUGUUAAAGCCACCAGCACGAGCACCUGACGAUGCUGAUCCAGUGAGUACUCCAUCAAAGGCAUACUGUAGGCCUGGCAUGUCUUGUCUACUAGCUUCAAUAUGAAUCCGAUUAAAUGUGAUGGGGUCAAGGCCCCAUUUCAUCAGCACAUAACGGCGAUGAUGAUGAGGAGACCAUCUCGCUGGAUUCCAAAAGGCAUAAGGACCCAGAGUCAUUGGUGCACUGGACUGCACAAACAUAAGGAUAAAAGCCCCCUCAGGUGCCCAUGAGGCAGAUUUUGUAAAUAUGAAAUCUUUUUACAGCAUUAAUGUUCAGGUGAACAUAACUUUUUGAUCUUUUCCAUUGAACACUGGCAAAAUGGCCUGGCUCAGUCCAUGACUCCAGAAUCUUUUGGACCUCUGAAAUCUAUCAGCGCCUAUCACAAGACAGGGGGUAAGGCUGCCAGCCGUUUUUCCUGACACCUUUCACAGACCCCCAGGAAGCACAGCAGGCCUACAACUAUGCCCAUGCUAGGGCCAGAGUUGAAAUGACCUUUGGCCUCCUGAAGGCACGCUCUCACUGCCUUCACAAAUUAAGGGUCAGCCCUGUGAGGGCAUGUGACUUUACUGUGGCUGGUGGUGUCCUCCACAAUGUGGCCUGCCUGAGGAAGGAGAGGGCACCCAGAGGGCACCCAGAGUGCCGCCAGCCAUGGACUGGGACAAUCCGGAAAUCUUCUCUGAUGACAACAGUGG